rnacentral:rRNA from 1 species
GAGUGGGAAGAGCUUCGAGUAGAGGUGAUAAACCUAUCGAGCACAGUAAUAGCUGGUUGCCUGAGAAAUGGAUAGAAGUUCAGCCCUUUAGAUUUUCUCCCCUCAAACUCAACACUUGUUAAGAUUAAAGAAAAUAUUAAGGAGUUAGUCAGAAGGGGUACAGCUCUUCUGAUAAAAGAAACAACUUUAAUAGGUGAAACAGGAUCAUAUCAAACAAGGACUAAGAUUUAAGUGGGCCUAAAAGCAGCCACCUUUAAAGAAAGCGUUAAAGCUCCAACUAGCUUUUUUCCCCGUAUACUGAUAUUAAACCUCCUCCUCCCUACUACCUACCAGGCUAUCUUAUGCCCCCAUAAGAAUAAUUAUGCUAAAAUGAGUAAUAAGAAGAGACCAUCUCUUCUCCCAGCAUACGUGUAAGUCGAACCGGAUCCCCCACCGAUCAUUAUCCGACCCCAACCCCAGAGGGCCCUAAGCUAAAAAAACAAGAAAAUCGCUUAGUCAAAAUCGUUAAUCUCACACAAGAAUGCACUAAGGAAAGACUAAAAGGAGAGGAAGGAACUCGGCAAACCCAAGCCUCGCCUGUUUACCAAAAACAUCGCCUCUUGACCUAUAAAUAUAAGAGGUCUCGCCUGCCCAGUGACUAAAUGUUAAACGGCCGUGGUAUCUUAACCAUGCGAAGGUAGCGUAAUCACUUGUCUUUUAAAUGAAGACCUGUAUGAAUGGCAAAACGAGGGCUUAACUGUCUCCCUCCCCCAGUCAAUGAAAUUGACCUCCCCGUGCAGAGGCGGGGAUAAAUAUAUAAGACGAGAAGACCCUGUGGAGCUUUAGACUUUAAAAUAACCACGUCAAACAAACUCCAAACAUGAGAAAAAACUUAGUGGGCCCUUAUUUAAAUGUCUUUGGUUGGGGUUGACCGCGGGGCAAAGCACAGC